rnacentral:lncRNA from 10 species
CAAGUUCACAGAUAAAGAUUUCUAUUAUCAUGAAACUCUUAUCUUUGAAUAUUGUAUCUUGCUUAUGCCUCUAGGACAAAGAGAAGUGGAAAACAGGUCUGUUACGUGCACUUAUGGGGUGUACUCUUAUUUGUGAAGAACUUUGCAGCCAGCCUUAUACAUGGAUAAGCUUACACUUUGAUAGAUAAAAGACGAAGGCCCAAUGUAGAGACCAUCGACAUUCAGAUGACCAUGCAACAAAGGUU